GAUGAACGCUAGCGGCAGGCUUAACACAUGCAAGUCGUGGGGCAGCGCGGACUUCGGUCUGGCGGCGACCGGCAAACGGGUGCGGAACACGUACGCAACCUCCCUCAGAGCGGGGAAUAGCCUCUCGAAAGAGAGAUUAAUACCCCAUAGUAUCUUGAAGACACAUGUCUAUGAGAUUAAAGCUUCGGCACUUUGAGAUGGGCGUGCGGCUGAUUAGGUAGUUGGCAGGGUAACGGCCUACCAAGCCGACGAUCAGUAGCUGAUGUGAGAGCAUGAUCAGCCACACGGGCACUGAGACACGGGCCCGACUCCUACGGGAGGCAGCAGUGAGGAAUAUUGGUCAAUGGAGGAAACUCUGAACCAGACCAUAGCCGCGUGGAGGAUGAAGGUCCUCUGGAUU
rnacentral:rRNA from 1 species